AUGUUAUGGAUAAUUCCGAGAAACUGACAUUUGACCUCAAGAUUUCUGGGAAAAAUAAGUGCACUGUUUACUUACUGGAGUGGAGACAUGUCGCAUGUAAAGGAAACAACUUUUGGGUUUGUGCAACCGGGCUUUUGUUGCGAUAAAGGAAGCAGAAGAUGUAUUUGUAACAAGUUCUACAUGUGAAGAAUUCUUUGGUGAGCUCAAACAGUUUUCAUUGGAUCCAGGAAAUGAUGAUGAUGAGUUUUGGGAGCAUGGUAAUGGACAGCAUUGUCGUCCUGGAGUGGAUUUGUUCCA